CCUACGGGAGGCAGCAGUGAGGAAUAUUGGUCAAUGGACGCAAGUCUGAACCAGCCAUGCCGCGUGCAGGAAGACGGCUCUAUGAGUUGUAAACUGCUUUUGUACGAGGGUAAACGCAGAUACGCGUAUCUGUCUGAAAGUAUCGUACGAAUAAGGAUCGGCUAACUCCGUGCCAGCAGCCGCGGUAAUACGGAGGAUUCAAGCGUUAUCCGGCUUUAUUGGGUUUAAAGGGUGCGUAGGCGGUCGGAUAAGUUAGAGGUGAAAUCCCGAGGCUCAACUUCGGAAUUGCCUCUGAUACUGGUCGGCGAGAGAGUAGUUGCGGGAGGCGGAAUGUAUGGUGUAGCGGUGAAAUGCUUAGAGAUCAUACAGAACACCGAUUGCGAAGGCAGCUUACCAAGCUACUUCUGACGUGGAGGCACGAAAGCGUGGGGAGCAAACAGGAUUAGAUACCCUUGUAGUC
rnacentral:rRNA from 1 species